AGAAUGCAGUGAGGGUAGCGACCGGGCUACACAGGUGAUGAAGGGGGGAACUGCAUCCUGGGAUCCGCAGUUUCGCCUGUCCACCCGCCAAAUCCUAAGAGUGGCUGAGCGCAGUUAUUGGGGAGUGGUAGGUCAGUUAAGGACCAAGGGAAGAGCAAAUUCCCUGAACCCCGAGUGGGUCUGUUCGGGCUGUCUUUAGAGAAGUUCUUUUGUGUGUGUGUGUGUGUGUGUGUGUGUGUGUGUGUGUGUGUCCGAGUCUCACUCUGUCGCCCAGGCAGGCUGGAGUGCAGUGGCACGAUCUUGGCUCACUGCAACCUCCGCCUCCCAGGUUCAAGCGAUUCUCCUGCCUCAGCCUCCCAAGUAGCUGGGAUUACAGGGUCUCGCCACCACACCCGGCUAAUUUUUUGUAUUUUUAGUAGAAACAGGGUUUCACCAUGUUGGCCAUGCUGGUCUCGAACUCCAGAACUCAAGUGAUCCGUCCGCCUCGGUCUUCCAAACUGCUGGGAUUACAGGCGUGAGCCACCGCGCCCAGCCUUUGGGGAAGUUCUUUUUACCGUCCAUCAUCCAUUGCCACCACACCUUCUGCUUACGAGUUAUUUAUAAUAAGUUUAACUAAAAGAGAACGAGAGAACAUCCCCUGAAACCCAAAGUUUGUCAUUCUAUACAGCUUUCCUGCCUGCAAAAGAGGAGGAGCAGACUCAUCCAGCAAAUCACCUAAAAAGUUUGAAGAUCAAAAAGCCUAGCUCCAGUUUCAGAUCCUUCCCCUACCUUUCUGAACACUAGUUUCUUCCUCUGAAAAACGAAAGAGGGAACGGGACCGUAGAGUGGAGUGGGCACAAGAAUCGCAAGUCCCUUCUGGCUAUGACGCUGCAAGACUCUAGGUACAGUUUAGGACUCCGGGCAUUCAGAUCCCCGGGACUUGUCAAGUUCUCCUCAUUGACAUUUUUGAUAUUUCGUGACAACACAAAUUCAUCACAUUUUUGUGCUGUGUGUUAUAUGUGGGAAGGAGAUUUUAAAAAGAUUGCCUUUUGAAGUUAUUGGAUAGCUGUGUUACAGAAGAAAACAUUGCCUUCAAGAAGUUAUUGGAUAGAUAUGUUACAGAAGAAAAGACGUUUGUUUCAUUUUUGACUUUGCAGGAAAAGAAUAUGUAACACAUCAGAAUUCUUCUCUCCUCCCUGGCCUUAGUCGAGUACCUGAGGGGCAUUAAAGCACUUCCUCCUUGCAAUCACUUACCCAGCAUAGUCCUUAAUACAGAUAUCUUCAUUGUUGAAUGAAUGAAUGAAUGUUCAUUAUGUUUGAUUACCUUAGGUUUACUUUCCAAAAGUGUCUUACUUGAGGAAGACCACAUCUACACAAAAAAAUCAAACUUUAAAACAGAGUAAGAGACCAUUCACACUACAAAUAGAUUCUCGGUUUAUAAAAGAUGUGUUAUAGUGCUCCCAUAAAUAGUGAGGCACUCUUCUGUAUCAGAUGGCACAAAUUUGAUUACAUAUAACUACUAAGUGCUUUUCCGUGGUCUGUGGUUCAUAGUGUGGGUGCCUGUGGUAUGCUAAGGUCUCUAUUUUACUGACAGCCACAGUUAAAAUAUAUUUCUUAAAACCAAAUAAACAGUCCACCAUCACCAGCCAAAUGCUAGGAGAGUGCUGACUGCUAUUUUAGCUGCUUUCUUCUAGGCAGAAUGAAAAGAAAAACAUAAGUUAACUUUAAAAGGGGAAAUAUGAUCCAUGUCAAGCUCAAUUCUGUCCAAUCAAAGCACAGAAUAUUGCUGUUGUUCCAAAAAUAUUAUCAUCAUUGCUGUCAUCUGUUCAUGUGUUCAUUUUACUUACGUUUAGAGUGGCGGUAACAUAAUAUAUGUGAAACCAAUAUGUCAGAUCUCUGCAGACAAUUUCUCUCAAAGAUGGAAGCUGCCCAAGGCCAAGCUCUUUCCACAGUGCAUAAGUACCACAGAGAUUUAAAAGCUUUUCAGCACACCAAGGAGCAAUAAGUUAAGAAAACAUGCAAAACAAACAUAGCUGGUUAUUUUAGAGUUCCUUAAGCCAAGCCAACCACCUAUUAGAGUUUGUGAAUAUGCUUUUUGUUAUACUCACUUUCCUGUUUGUAUCAAAUUUAUAAACUUCAUUGUCUUCUGUGUCUACUAAAUACUUUUCAACAUCCUUGUCCUAGGAUUUAGGAUACUAAUUCUGUGAUAUCCUCGAGUUUAUGUGCAUUCCAUUCUCUUUGUAUACACCAAUACAUACUGUAGAAUUUUGGUUUCUUGAUUCUUUAUCAAUAAAAUAGGAAUAGAACAGCACUUAUUGCAGAGGGUUUUUUUGUUUUU
rnacentral:lncRNA from 1 species